UGCGAAGCGAAGCAAUGAUGCGAAGCAAAUCGCACCAAAGCCGGUCCCAGUUCGGAUAAGAGGCUGAAACUCGCCUCUUUGAAGUCGGAAUCGCUAGUAAUCGCAGAUCAGCAUGUUGCGGUGAAUACGUUCCCGGGUCUUGUACACACCGCCCGUCAAACCAUGAGAGUCACCAACACCCGAAGUCCGCUUUGGCGGCCUAAGGUGGGGGAGAUGAUUGGGGUUAAGUCGUAACAAGGUAAC
rnacentral:rRNA from 1 species